rnacentral:tRNA from 1 species
GCGCUGGUGGUGUAAGGCGAACAUCGCUGCCCGGAAAGCAGAAGAUGCGGGUUCGAGUCCCGUCUGGCGCA